rnacentral:rRNA from 1 species
CCUACGGGUGGCAGCAGUGAGGAAUAUUGGUCAAUGGGCGGAAGCCUGAACCAGCCAAGUCGCGUGAGGGAAUAAGGCCCUACGGGUUGUAAACCUCUUUUGCCGGGGAGCAAGGGCGGGGACGUGUCCCUGCCCGGAGAGUACCCGGAGAAAAAGCAUCGGCUAACUCCGUGCCAGCAGCCGCGGUAAUACGGAGGAUGCGAGCGUUAUCCGGAUUUAUUGGGUUUAAAGGGUGCGUAGGCGGGCUUUUAAGUCAGCGGUAAAAGUGCGGGGCUCAACCCCGUCCGGCCGUUGAAACUGGGGGCGUUGAGUGGGCGAGAAGAAGGCGGAGUGCGUGGGGUAGCGGUGAAAUGCAGAGAUAUCACGCAGAACCCCGAUUGCGAAGGCAGCCUUCCGGCGCCCUACUGACGCUGAGGCACGAAAGUGCGGGGAUCGAACAGGAUUAGAUACCCGUGUAGUC